rnacentral:rRNA from 1 species
GACGAACGCUGGCGGCGUGCUUAACACAUGCAAGUCGAACGGAAAGGCCCUGCUUUUGUGGGGUGCUCGAGUGGCGAACGGGUGAGUAACACGUGAGUAACCUGCCCUUGACUUUGGGAUAACUUCAGGAAACUGGGGCUAAUACCGGAUAGGAGCUCCUGCUGCAUGGUGGGGGUUGGAAAGUUUCGGCGGUUGGGGAUGGACUCGCGGCUUAUCAGCUUGUUGGUGGGGUAGUGGCUUACCAAGACUUUGACGGGUAGCCGGCCUGAGAGGGUGACCGGCCACAUUGGGACUGAGAUACGGCCCAGACUCCUACGGGAGGCAGCAGUGGGGAAUAUUGCACAAUGGGCGGAAGCCCGAUGCAGCAACGCCGCGUGCGGGAUGACGGCCUUCGGGUUGUAAACCGCUUUCGCCUGUGACGAAGCGUGAGUGACGGUAAUGGGUAAAGAAGCACCGGCUAACUACGUG